rnacentral:rRNA from 1 species
AGAGUUUGAUCCUGGCUCAGGAUGAACGCUGGCGGCGUGCUUAACACAUGCAAGUCGAACGAUGAGGAGGAGCUUGCUCCUCUGGAUUAGUGGCGAACGGGUGAGUAACACGUGAGCAAUCUGCCCCUGACUCUGGGAUAAGCGUUGGAAACGACGUCUAAUACCGGAUACGAGCUGAGAAGGCAUCUUCAGCAGCUGGAAAGAACUUCGGUCAGGGAUGAGCUCGCGGCCUAUCAGGUAGUUGGUGAGGUAACGGCUCACCAAGCCUACGACGGGUAGCCGGCCUGAGAGGGUGACUGGCCACACUGGGACUGAGACACGGCCCAGACUCCUACGGGAGGCAGCAGUGGGGAAUAUUGCACAAUGGGCGAAAGCCUGAUGCAGCAACGCCGCGUGAGGGACGAAGGCCUUCGGGUCGUAAACCUUCUUUUAGCGAGGGAAGAAGCGAAAGUGACGGUACCUGCAGAAAAAGCACCGGCUAACUACGUG